CAGAAAAUAGUAUAUAAAUUUUUUAGUACAUAAAUUUUGGAUAUUUAAAGAGAUUUUCUUUUCUGA
rnacentral:tRNA from 1 species